rnacentral:rRNA from 1 species
UACAGGGGGGGCAAGCGUUGUUCGGAAUUACUGGGCGUAAAGGGCUCGUAGGUGGCCAACUAAGUCAGACGUGAAAUCCCUCGGCUUAACCGGGGAACUGCGCCUGAUACUGGAUGGCUUGAGUUCGGGAGAGGGAUGCGGAAUUCCAGGUGUAGCGGUGAAAUGCGUAGAUAUCUGGAGGAACACCGGUGGCGAAGGCGGGUCUCUGGACAGUUCCUGACACUGAGACACGAAGGCCAGGGGAGCAAACGGG